rnacentral:rRNA from 1 species
UACGGAGGGUGCGAGCGUUGUCCGGAAUCACUGGGCGUAAAGGGCGCGUAGGCGGCCUGAUAAGUAGGGGGUGAAAUCCUGCGGCUUAACCGCAGAGCUGCCUUCUAAACUGUCAGGCUGGAGCACAGUAGAGGCAGGUGGAAUUUCCGGUGUAGCGGUGAAAUGCGUAGAUAUCGAGAGGAACACCCGAGGUGAAGACGGGUUGCUGGGCCGACACUGACGCUGACAGCGCGAAAGCCAGGGGAGCAAACGGG